UAUCCAGUUUUAGGUUUCUUACUCUUUUUUAAUUUGUUAUACCACAAGCAUGGAACUUUGAACGCUCAAAAUUGACCUUUGAAUAUGUUUUAUAUGUUGAUCCCCAUUCUUUACUUACGAAGAAUAAAAAUACAAUGGUUCGUUUAUAUAGAACCAAUCACAUCUUGGAGCGGAGCAGGCUCAAGUUGCUUCACUUUUGGUUUUUGCAUGUCCAUGUCAAAUUGGGAGUUUGUCGGGGCAAAGAAGUAAUUUUGCGUAGAAUUUAGCAGUCGUGAUGGUGUAUACAUUUUCUUGCUGCAUUUUGGUUGAACCAUGCCUCCUCUCCUCAAAGAUCUAGAUGUGCAUGCUUCCUAGACUAAUUGCUUUAUGUUGGUGAAUCCGAAUUUCAGUGGACAUCUCAGCCGAAAGAGUUCAACUCCAAUAUUUGAAUGCAACGUGCCAGAAGAAGAAACAAAUCGGGAUAGACCGACCAUGAGAGGAAAAUAAAUAGUAAGAAGGGAAUGGUUCAUCGGACAUGGACUUCUUCAGUGAAUGUGGUGAUGCUACCAGAUUGAGAAUUUGGCAAAUCAUUGGCAAAGCGAGUUUGAGUGUCAAGUUUAUUCAUCAAUUGACCAACAUACUGGUAAUAGGGUGGAAAUCAGAAAAUACAAAAUUACUUUGAGCACUGAUCUGAUGUUGCCUGGAUCCUCUGUGAGAUCAGAUUAUUCAGGUUGUUGAGACAUCCUGAUAUAGUUGAGGUCAGACAUAUAAUGCUAUUUCCAUCGAGGAGACAUCCAAUAAUAUUUGUGUUGUAUUUGAGCUGA